GGGCUCACACAAGCGGUGGAGCAUGUGGCUUAAUUCGAGGCAACGCGAAGAACCUUAUCCUGGGUUUGACAUGUAUGGAUUAACCCUGUGAAAGCAGGGCCACGCCUUCGGGUGGAACAUACACAGGUGCUGCAUGGCUGUCGUCAGCUCGUGUCGUGAGAUGUCGCGUUAAGUCGCUUAACGAGCGAAACCCUUGUCUCUAGUUGCCAGCGCGUAAUGGCGGGGACUCUAGAGAGACCGCCGGCGUUAAGCCGGAGGAAGGUGGGGAUGACGUCAAGUCCUCAUGGCCCUUAUGACUAGGGCUGCACACGUCCUACAAUGGAACGCACAAAGGGAUGCGAAACCGCGAGGUCAAGCAAAUCCCAAAAAUCGUUCCCUAGUUCGGAUUGCAGGCUGCAACUCGCCUGCAUGAAGCUGGAAUCGCUAGUAA
rnacentral:rRNA from 1 species